UUCUGUUUCGAAAAGAUUCAGGGCAAAGGAG
rnacentral:ncRNA from 1 species